GCCUUCGACGGUAAUGGUGUCUGCCGGGCUUUGAGCCGAACCGCCGAUCCUUGAUGCGGCUGAUGACUCCUACGAUUCG
rnacentral:ncRNA from 2 species